CGCUGGGGCAGGCUAACAAUGCAAGUCGAGCGGAACAAAUCAGCUUGCUGAGAUGCUGACGAGCGGCGGCAGGGUGAGUAAUGCAUAGGAAUCUGCCCGAUAGUGGGGGAUAACCUGGGGAAACCCAGGCUAAUACCGCAUACGUCCUACGGGAGAAAGGGGGCUCCGGCUCCCGCUAUGGGAUGAGCCUAUGUCGGAUUAGCUAGUUGGUGAGGUAACGGCUCACCGAGGCCGCGAUCCGUAGCUGGUCUGAGAGGAUGAUCAGCCACAUCGGGACUGAGACACGGCCCGAACUCCUACGGGAGGCAGCAGUGGGGAAUAUUGGACAAUGGGGGAAACCCUGAUCCAGCCAUGCCGCGUGUGUGAAGAAGGCCCUCGGGUUGUAAAGCACUUUCAGCGAGGGAAGAACGCCUAGCGGUUAAUACCCGCUAGGAAAGACAUCACUCGCAGAAGAAGCACCGGCUAACUCCGUGCCAGCAGCCGCGGUAAUACGGAGGGUGCAAGCGUUAAUCGGAAUUACUGUGCGUAAAGCGCGCGUAGGCGGUUAUUUAAGUCAGAUGUGAAAGCCCCGGGCUCAACCUGGGAAUUGCAUUUGAUACUGGAUGGCUAGAGUGUGGUAGAGGUGAGUGGAAUUUUCAGGUGUAGCGGUGAAAUGCGUAGAGAUCUGAAGGAACAUCAGUGGCGAAGGCGACUCACUGGGCCAUUACUGACGCUGAGGUGCGAAAGCGUGGGUAGCAAACAGGAUUAGAUACCCUUAGUCCCCGCCACUAAACGAUGUCAACUAGGUGUAUGGAGAAUUAUUCUUUGUGUAUCGAAACUAACGCAUAAGUUGACCGGCUGGGGAGUACGGUCGCAAGACUCAAACUACAUAAUGCAUUGUUGCUC
rnacentral:rRNA from 1 species